GCAGCAGCCAAUAUGGGUUUGCACACACAGGGUUGCAUGAGACAAAAAAAGUGUGUACGUUUUAUUAACAGUCUUCAACAACACACUCGAUUUAUUUUUUUUCGUGUGUGUGUGUUCAUUGUGGGACACUGUCUAUCCCUUGCCAGGAAAGACUGGCCCUAUUGAAACAGGGGAAGAAAUGUGAAUGAUCCGCAACAGAUCAACAACAAGGAGCUAGCGAAUGUCUUUUGGGAGAAUCGGGCGAUCCUGACACAAGGUACGAAGCAGUCAUUGGAUAUUGGGUCUCAUAUUGAUUAGUCAUGCACACAUACACCUUGCUUCUGAUGGACACUGCACCACAUUACAAAGACAUCUACCAGCAGGAAUUGUUAAAGGAGGGAUUUGGCAGAAUCAGGACUGAAAUCUGAGAGCCUGAAGAAGAUUUUGUUCAUGGUGAAAGCUACCAAUACCAGCUCUGGCACUGGCACCAGCAUGGGCAGCAACAGAUACAGCAGCAAAGAACAUCUGAAAUAUCGGCAUCACACAAAGGAUGAAAAGUAACUCCUCUAAGUAAAUGUCUUGUGGGUAAACCCAUACAGGAACCACAACAUACUCAGCAAUGUUUAAAUAUUUGCUGACCACAUAUUUUUACUCCAUUUGUUUUUGGGAUGUGAGUGAUGUCAAUAAAGCCAAUCUUUAUUGGCCAUCUCUCGAAUCCCUGGUGGUAUGAUGAUUCAGUCAUUUAGCAUAGGGCUGGAGUAACAUGUAGACCAGAUUGUGUUGAAGUGAUGGGUUCCCCUCCUACAAGGUGAACCAAUUAGGUUUUUAAAACAAUCAGCGGACUUCAUGAUCCAUUUCCAAGUUCAUUGAUUGAUCCAAUUUAGUUUCUCAACUUAAUCUGGUGGGCUUCAACCCCAUAACCUUUCUGGACCAGCUCCACAAUCAACCCAUUGCCAUGCCAACUCGUUACACAUUACUGCCUCAAAUUUCAAAAUCAAACUCAAUUUACCAUAAAAUUCCACACAUUUAGGGAAAUCAAAUAAGACUGUAAACACCAUAAAAAUCCAAAAUAUAGAUUCAAAUAAACAAUGGGAAAAUGUUACCAAGUGAAUGGAAUGGAAUCGGUUACAGUCGAGGAGGGAAAAUCUAUGGGUUAUUUGCAAGAUAGUUGCCAGGUGCAGUGGGAAGACAGUGAGACUUCACAGAACAGAUGAGUGAGGACAGGCUAAAGGUUGACCUUGUCAAAUAGUACCUUGCUCUCAAAAUUGCUCUUGGUUUGAUUAACAGCUAAAUGGGUAGGGGCUCAUAUACUAUGCCAUUGCCCAUUCUUUCAGUGGAGACAUUUAAACUGAGCAUGUUUAAUAGGAUGGCUGUCCACAGAAACUAAUGGUUCAAGUAAUACUAAAUACAACUAUGCUCACCCAUAAUUCUUAUGAGCACAAAGGUAUUGUCAACUGAUGUUUCUCUACCCCUCAGUAAGAUAUAGGUACACUGAUGGUAUUUUUUAGUCACUCACUCAAUAAAGGAGAUAUGCGUACAGUGACUGGCAUUUCCCAGUCCCUCAUUUCAUCAGGGUGAUGUAUACUGACUGGUGUGUUUCAGUCAUCCACUUUCUCAGGGAGGUGUCCGUACAUUGACUGAUGGCUGUCAAUCCCUCACUCUCCCACAGAGAUACAUCUACAUUGGUUGGUGUCUCUCAGUCCGCGAUUCUGUUGGGGAAGCAUCUGUACAUUGAUUGCUGUCUCACAGUCCCUGAGGAAGAUACCUGUACAUUGAUUGCAUUUCUCAGUCCCUCACUCCCUCAGGGAGAUAUCUGUAUGCUGCCUGGUGUCUCUCAUUCCCUCAGGAAGAUACCCAUACAUUGCCUGGUGUCUCUCGUUACAUCAGGGAAUUACCUGCAAACUGACUAGUGUCUCUCAUUCCCUCAGAGAGGUACCUGUACACUGAAGGGAGUCUGUCACUCCCAACAGGAAAUAUCCGUACACUGACUGGUGUCUCAUUAUAUCAGGGAGAUAUCUGCAUGCUGACUGGUGUCUCUAACCCCCUGCAAGAGAUAUUUGCACACUGAUAGGAAUCUCUUAUUCCCACUGGGAAAUAUUUGUACACAAACUGGUAUCUCUGAGACUUUCGUGACUUCCUAUCCUUAUGUGCAGAUGAUUGCCUGAAUAGUGAGAAUAGGCUGUCCUAUCCGUUCAAGCCUGAGACCAAUUUGAAUUGAACAGGUAUUGAUGAAGGAAAAGAGCGUCAGUACAUUGGCGGUAAAUGACUGUGUAUUCCAGGCUCAGUUGCUGAUGUCUCCCUUUUGUAACAUGAAGAUGAAGUGAUUUUUGUUGCAAGGAGAGGAGUUUGCAAUUUUAUCCGUUAAACGAAACGUGCAGCCUUUAGGCUAAACAGCUGGUGUAUGCACAUGGUUCUGUUUGAUUACGUGAGU